rnacentral:rRNA from 1 species
GACGAACGCUGGCGGCGUGCCUAAUACAUGCAAGUCGAACGCAGUGGGGACGGGUGAGUAACACGUGGGUAACCUCCCAUCAGAGGGGAUAACACUUGGAAACAGGUGCUAAACCGCUACUGAUGGAUGGACCCGCGGUGCAUUAGCACGUUGGUGAGGUAACGGCCCACCAAGGCAACGAUGGAUAGCAGACAUGGGAGGGUGAUCGGCAACACUGGGACGGAGACACGGCCCAGACUCCUAAGGAAGGAAGCAGUAGGGAAGAUUCGGAAAUGGAGGAAAGUCGGACCGAGCAACGCCGCGUGAGUGAAGAAGGUUUUCGGAUCGUAAAACUCUGUUGUUAGAGAAGCGGUAGCUAACCAGAAAGCCACGGCUAACUACGUGCCAGCAGCCGCGGUAAUAC